AUGGCUGCCCUGGCCCAGGCACUCAAAGCCUCUAUCAAAAACAGAAAAGCCCCUCUGUGUGAUGUCAUAUCCUACUCCACAGAUGCUAGCCAGUCAGCUUGCAGUAUUGUGUGGCUUCUUCGCUGUCUUGUUCAAUGGCUGAGGAAAAGAAAAGACAAUGCGGAGUUGCCUCCAAACACAUCUUAUAAAGACUUGUUGUCUGAGUUCCACUUGAACUUGAAUGAGUUUAACAAAAGAAGCCACUGGCAUUGCUUGUUGAUGGGGCG
rnacentral:lncRNA from 1 species